rnacentral:rRNA from 1 species
UACGUAGGUGGCAAGCGUUGUCCGGAAUUAUUGGGCGUAAAGCGCGCGCAGGCGGUUCCUUAAGUCUGAUGUGAAAAGCCCCCCGGCUCAACCGGGGAGGGUCAUUGGAAACUGGGGGAACUUGAGUACUGAAGAGGAAAGCGGAAUUCCACGUGUAGCGGUGAAAUGCGUAGAGAUGUGGAGGAACACCAGUGGCGAAGGCGGCUUUCUGGUCAGUAACUGACGCUGAGGCGCGAAAGCGUGGGGAGCAAACAGG